rnacentral:rRNA from 1 species
UACGGGGGGGGGCAAGCGUUGUUCGGAAUUACUGGGCGUAAAGGGCUCGUAGGCGGCCAACUAAGUCAGACGUGAAAUCCCUCGGCUUAACCGGGGAACUGCGUCUGAUACUGGAUGGCUAGAGGUUGGGAGAGGGAUGCGGAAUUCCAGGUGUAGCGGUGAAAUGCGUAGAUAUCAGGAGGAACACCCCGUGGCGAAGGCGGUUCUCUGGGACGGUACUGACGCUGAAACGCGAAAGCGUGGGGAGCGAACAGG